AGUGAACGCUGGCGGUAGGCCUAACACAUGCAAGUCGAACGGCAGCACAGUAAGAGCUUGCUCUUACGGGUGGCGAGUGGCGGACGGGUGAGGAAUACAUCGGAAUCUACUAUUUCGUGGGGGAUAACGUAGGGACACUUACGCUAAUACCGCAUACGAUCUACGGGUGAAAGCAGGGGAUCUUCGGACCUUGCGCGAUAGAAUGAGCCGAUGCCGGAUUAGCUAGUUGGCGGGGUAAAGGCCCACCAAGGCGACGAUCCGUAGCUGGUCUGAGAGGAUGAUCAGCCACACUGGAACUGAGACACGGUCCAGACUCCUACGGGAGGCAGCAGUGGGGAAUAUUGGACAAUGGGCGCAAGCCUGAUCCAGCCAUACCGCGUGAGUGAAGAAGGCCUUCGGGUUGUAAAGCCCUUUUGUUGGGAAAGAAAAGCAGCAGGUUAAUACCUCGCUGUUCUGACGGUACCCAAAGAAUAAGCACCGGCUAACUUCGUG
rnacentral:rRNA from 1 species